GGGGUUGUAGCUUAGUGGUAAAGCGCACAGAAGGAAUGUCUUCACGACAUCUGCCCUAGAGGUGGGGCCGCUCGACGGCGCGGGACUAGAUCCUGCUGUACCCUUCAAUUGUGAGACGUUGGUUCGAAUCCAGCCGACCCCC